rnacentral:lncRNA from 12 species
AGUCUUUGGACCUCUGCUUGCUUUCUUCAGUGGGCUGUGAUGUCAGCAUAGGAGGUCUGUAUCCAUGGAUUUCGUGAGGUCUUGAAUAAAGGCUUGACUAUGAUGUAAGUAAGUAAGGCGUUACUCAAGUUUUGGGAAAAGCUCCUGAAAGAAUACUCUUUUCAAAUGAGCAGCUACUACUGAUGAGUAGUAACAUAGUGAAUACGUUCUGAUACACGAAGAAACCAAAUGGAAUAUCCUAGCUAAGGCUACUGAGAUCUUCCUGAAGGAUAUGGGUCAGAAUAGCUCUGCUGAACAUCAGCCAUUGCCAUAAUUCUGAGCAGCUGCCUUGUGAUCAUUAAUUUCUUUGGGUAUGAAGAACCAGAUGUUUGAAGAUUUGGGAAAGGUAACACCACUGCUGAUGUUUAUAAUUCAGUUAAAAAUAUAUUUUUGGGUUGGUAUAUUGGUGGUUCUUUUCAAGUUAUUAUUUCGUUUUAAAUGAGGGCAGAUUAAGUGGAAAAUUUGUAGAAGAAUUGAGAAGAGGAUUAUUGCGUACUGGGGCAAUAAAGAUUGUCUUGGCUCAUGGUAAAGCCUUUGUAUAACCUGCAUAUGUACAAUGAUCUGUUAUCUAUACUUACUCACCUGCCUCUGGGUAGCACUGAUAAAGCAUAGACAUUAGACAUUUCUUUUACUUCCUUCAGCUUUUCUUUUUUUGCUAUACUGAAUUGAGACCAUGAAAGGAUAUUCCUGCCUGGCUUCCUGCAUCGCUUACUACAGCAUUUAGAACAAGGUAUAUUUGAUGAGCUUCUUAAGACUAUAUUUAGAAAAAUCUGCAUGCUGCCUGAAGCCAAGAAGAUGAAAGAAUGAUUCUACAGUAUUAUUAUGAGAAUAGUUCAUGAAAUUCAGUCUGGAGCCUUUAUCCCCAGCCAUCCUAAAGUAUUUUAUCUAGGAUUGGAACUGGGCCAGAGCAGUAGUAUGAAUAAACCAAGUCUGAUGAGAAAGAGGAGCCUGAAAACCAGUAGAAGAAAGCAAAUUCUAUAAAUUUCCACAUGAUCACUCUAUAUGGUAAUUAAAGAUCAUUUUGAGUAAAAAAUUCUCUAUGUAGUCAUGCUUCAAACUCACUUCUCAGUUUCAAGAUAAAUACAAACCUAGAGCUCUAGUGAAAAUACAACAAUAUCUCUAUGAAGCAGUACUGUAAGUUCCCAAUUUCAAAAUAAGACUGAAAUUAGGUGCAAAUUCAGAAAUAGUUUUUGGACUUUUUUAAUUAAAAGGAGUUGAAUACCUCAUUUCAUACCAGUGAAGAGUCUAUGGGAAAUACUUCUCAUUCUAGACUUCAAUUGCUUGUUAAACUAUCAUUAAAAUGAAGUAUGAAGAAAUAAAAGUUAAGGGAAUGUAUCA